rnacentral:lncRNA from 1 species
UAAAUUCUCACAUAGGCAACAAUUAACCAACUUAAUCAUCAAUAAACACUAUUAGCAUGUUCAAUCUCAUUUAUCCUAAGUCAAUACGCAUAGUUAACACAUAGACAUGAAAAUCCUAAUUUUUGUUAAACUAAACUUUUUGAAAAUCUAUAAGCAUGACUAAAUCAUUAAUCCAACCUUAGAUCUAUCAAUUUAGGUUACUUAAUCACAUAUAUAAACCAUCAAUUAGCAAUUUAAAGCAUAGAGACACAUAUACCUAAUUUUCAUCAAACUAACUUUCAUCAAAAUUAACAAUCCACUUCAAAUCAUCAAUCUACUCCAUCAAUUAUCAUAUUAGUCAUCUCAUA